rnacentral:tRNA from 1 species
GCCCUCAUGGUCAAGCGGUUAAGACGCUGCCCUCUCACGGCAGAAUCAGCGGUUCGAUUCCGCUUGGGGGUACCA